AUGGGCAAAGGGCCAAAAAUCGAAUGCAGUCUGGAGUCAAAGUACAAAUGCUGCUGGAGAGGAGGCUUGCAGUGUUUCAGGAUGGACACAUGGGCUCCACAGACUGGGAUGAAUGAGGGUCAGGGGUCACCAUGUUCCUGGAGUCCUAAGAAGAUGCUACCGAGACUGGAUGUCGAGGGCAAUCCGAGCAGCAGUGAAGAUCCAGAGCUAGAAAGCAAAAGGAGGAUUUUUGAAACAUUUAAGCUGCAAAUUUAUGUCUUUGCAUGGUUUGUCUUCACAUUUCAGCCAACGGUCUGUAGCCUAAAUGUUUGAGGUGAGAAAGACUAAUUUGAUGAUAACAGUCCUUCUCCUACUAGAGAAUAUGCGGGAGUUAAUGAACAACUGACUCAGACUGCUCUUCAUGUAAGAUUCAUCUGCCUUUUCCCCUUGUAAUAGCCCUUUCAAAACAAACUACAAUUUUUUGUAUCACGGAUAAGUUAUUUCUUCUUCAUUUGUGUUCUGAGCAAGUGCGCCAAAGGGCUAAGCAGUAUUCUGUUGAUGUGGAGGUGCUCACUAAUACUCUUGUGAGUAAAUGGAUUAGCUGGAAGAGAGAUUUGGAGAGCCAGGUUGGAUUGGACCUCACAGUGGUGGGGCAGGGGUUGUGAGGGAAAUGACAGCAUUAAUGAAUUCAAUUUUGUCUGCUCCCCUUGAGGUGAAUACGUCCUAGGGGGUUGGAUUAAUG
ensembl:lincRNA